AGCACAGAACUGUUGUCCUCUCUUGCAAUUCCUCCUUGAGGAAUAACAAGAAGUUUUUAUGAAGUGAGGCAGUGUGCAGCAUGAUUUUAGUGCUAUCCCACUGCCUCUGGAGAGAGGGAUUUCUUUGCCUCUGCAUUACUCUACACUCGCUGUAAUCCAUUAAUUGUCUUCAGGAAAACCCUCUGGCUCUGUCCCUCACAUCAGUGUCUCCCUGUGCAUUUCAGAGUCCCCUGAUCCAGGCAGGAGGGCUCAGCACCAGUGCUCAGCACCCUGAGCCAGGCAGGAGUGCCCGGGAAGGCUGGAGGUGUCUGCAGGACAGGAGGAGCUGGAUGCAGACCUUGGCCCUCAGGACUUGGAUUCAGAGAAAUUCAUCAGUCAGAAAGAGCAGCUUGGCUGGGAGUUGAGGGGAAAAACAACACUUUUCCCCCAAAGCCAUGGCCAGUGGGUGGAGGUUUAUGCCCAGCAGCGGAGUUGCUCCCUCUUCAUCACCCAGGGGUGGAGAAACUUGAUGUACUGGUAGUUUGUCCAAUGUCUUUGGAGAGGUGGCGCAUUCACCCUCCAAUCCACUGUCACCUUUGGAAAAGUAUAAAUGCUGGAGUCAGAAAAUAAACCCUCUCUUUUUUCACCUUGCA